AUAAUAAAAAAAAAGGGCAAUUGCUUAUAUAUCCCUGAAAAGUUCCCGACUUUCCGAUUUAUCCCUCUUAGAAGGCUAAUAUUGAAAAUAUCCCUCCUACGUUCUAACCUAUUUCUAAUAUACCCCUAGAGUUAAAAUAUGUUAAGUAACUCUGUUAUCUCUGUAAAAUUACUAUUUUGCCCUUUCAAAUAUACUCUUUCACCAUUACUUUUUUUUUUAUUUGCCCUUAAAGUCAGGGGUAUAAAAAGUAUUUUGACUUUUGGUCUUUUCUAAUAUAUCCCUUUACCAUCAACAAUCUUUUUUAUUUGCCCUUAAGUUAAGGGCAAAAUUGGUAUUUUAUUUUUUUUAACUGUGGUAGAUAUUUAACUCACGUUUAACCCACUCAGGUUAACUUAACAGGAGAUAACUGCAGGGGUAUUUUGCAAUAACAGAGAAACAUAUGAAGGGUAUUUUAGAAAGAAAAAAAAGAGAUAAAUCGAAUAUUUCCAAACGUAUGAGGAGUAUAUGAGCAAUUAUCCCUAAAAAGGAAGUUUCAUUUAUUUAAUAUUUAAUAUUUAAUACAACAAAAAGGCACAU
rnacentral:lncRNA from 1 species